AUUACACUCUGUCCUCAGAAGGAAGAGACUGCCAGGUUCCCCUUACCUGGCACCAGAAGGCCCCAAUAGACUCCACUGUCUACACGGAUGUUUGAGGCCAGCAACCAGUCUGCAGUGAGGUCACAGUGGACUUCUGAGUUGUGGGUUACCAAGGAGGACUACUCAUUGGCCAGGGAGAGAGUUCAGACUUCCAACAGGGCUGCUUGCAGGCUUCUCGCCUCCCAAGAGUCCCUCAGCCCAUGGAGCAGGUCUGGAGAAAGGAUUACGCAGGGCCGAUCUGAACUCCCAGCUCAGCUUUUGAGCGACAGCUUUCCCCACCGCCCUGGAGAGGUGCUCAGAGCAGGACCUCCUCAGUCUCUCUCCAUCGUCUCCAGCAGCCCCAGGAGGUGGCCGGGUGAUUCUGGAACAAGGCACCUGGGAGACACAGCACAUGCUGGGUCAUAAGGAGAAGAACCCUGAUAACUUGGACGGACAGUCUGCAAGCCGUGAAAAGUCCAGCUGCCUCCAGCCCCACGGGCCAGCGCUCGGUUCCCAUGACACUCACUGGCAGCGUUAAUAACUAACCACGGCCCAGACAGGUGUUGGCAGCCGGGCCUCAGGAGUUCUUGUUCAGGGGUGGAAACAACCAACACUCGUGACAUCUGAUCGGGCAGCACUGGUGUCUCCGGCAGGCGUGAGACUGACAGGCAGAGAGAAGAUGACACUGUUUCUUGCCUCAGAAGCUUCCAGGUGUCACAGCCUAGUUUACCUCUGCACUGUCUCACUUCUACAUGGCCCCCCAGACUUCCCAAACUGCACUGUGAAAUCUGUCUGCUGCAGCCAUGGCUUUGGCUGCCCUUCCCAGAGUCCCUGGAACAAUUUCACUAUUAAUUAUGGUGGUGGCAGAGAUGGUCAUUGGAGCCACAGCACCUCUGUCCCCAGCACACACAUGCGUGAUUGGAUGGAGCUGAGGACACAGCAUGUCCUCCCUGGACGUCCAACUUUUCCUCAGUGGACACACUCCUCCCUGCUGCUGACCUCAUGCAGGAAUCCUGGGGGCUGUGAGGCCGUGAAUGUGACAGUUCUUUGAAAGGAAGUUUGCAAAGCCAGAACCAGUGGGGAGAUGGGGAGAGGCCCUCCUAUGAAGCCAUGAUGCCACAGAAGAUUGUGUGGAUUGCCUGAAUGAGGGAGUCAUGGCUGCUGAGAAUCAGUGCCUGUGAUUUUCAGCUCCUCACAGAAUCACUGUCAAUCUGCUCUCAGAGAUGGGAAACCAAAGUCCAUGAAGAGAAGGUCGUCAGCCCAUCGUCACAACGUGAGAAAGUAAUAGGAGGUGGAUGUGAAGCCAGGCCAUCUGGGUCCCUGCUCCUUACCACUGCACUAGACAAGACAGUGACCAACUCACAACACAAUCUGCCUGGUUGCGAAUCUCUGCACAGCACCCUCCUUCUAAACUCCACGGGAGAAACAGAAACAAUCUGUUGUCUCCCAUAAAACACACCUACAUUCUGAGCUUCCAGCCAGCAUGAAACUCACAGCCAGAAUCAGAGCCACUGUGGAUGGAGACGUCUAGAAAACUAUGGGCAAAUCCAGCCUUAUGUGAAAGGAAGGGGUGUCUGCUUCACACGCUGCACUGUCAGGACCAGACUUCAGUCAGCAGCACCCGGAAAUGUGUAGGAGCCCACUUAAUCCUACGGCCAAUCUGUGCCCUGGAAAGCCAGCAGGUCGAUCCACCUGUCCCCUACACCCACAGGCUGUGAGUCACCUGCCUGAAGGUUCUUCCUGCACACUGUCUGAAAGACCUGUGUGUCCUGCAAUGGACUCCAUGUCUGCAGUGCAGGUAGCAGGAGCGGACACGGAACCUGCUGAGAAGCUGGGACAACUCACUAUCACUCAAAACAGCAACAGGCCACGGUCAUGGUUCAGAGCUGGCUUUCAAUCCCAGCUCCUCUGCAAAUUACCUGUGCAACACUGGACGAAUGACUGUACCUUGAUUUUCUCAUCUGGAGGCUGGGCAUCAGGUAACUCACGGCUAGAGCUGUGAGGGGCCAAAUGAGUUAACCAAAUCACAGCCAUGGAACGCAGCCUGGCCAGAGUUAAUAAAUACUGGAUGUACUUAUAAGCCUGGGCCCCUGAACCUCUUCUGCUCGCUACCUGCAAGGUGCCUGCUGAC
rnacentral:lncRNA from 1 species